CCAAAACCCAAUAGUGGUAUCAGAGUCUAUCUUGAUUUAUGUAAUCAAAGAUUAAAUUAUUAUCUUGAUUGUGAUCAAGCAUGAGUUUUUGGUUUGGUUCAAGUUGGGUCGAGGGUUGAGCCCGAUUGAACAUCCAAACCCUAUCAUGUCUUAGAGAUAUGUUUUAAAUAUAAAAUGCAUGAUGUAUGUGUAAAAUUUUUUUAGUAGCUUAGUACUCUAAUUAG
rnacentral:lncRNA from 1 species